rnacentral:rRNA from 1 species
UACGGGAGGCAGCAGUGGGGAAUAUUGCACAAUGGGCGAAAGCCUGAUGCAGCUAUGCCGCGUGUAUGAAGAAGGCCUUAGGGUUGUAAAGUACUUUCAUCGGGGAGGAAAACAAAACUAAUAAUUUUAUUUCUUGACGUUACCCGAAAAAGAAGCACCGGCUAACUCCGUGCCAGCAGCCGCGGUAAUACGGAGGGUGCUAGCGUUAAUCAGAAUUACUGGGCGUAAAGAGCACGUAGGUGGUUUUUUUAAGUCAGAUGUGAAAUCCCUGGGCUUAACCUGGAACUGCAUUUUGAAACUGAAAUACUAGAGUAUCGUAGAGGGAGGUAGAAUUCUAGGUGUAGCGGUGAAAUGCGUAGAUAUCUGGAGGAAUACCUGUGGCGAAAGCGGCCUCUAAACCGAUACUGACACUGAGUGCGAAAGCUGGGGAGCAACGAGGGAUUAGAUACC